UACAGAGGGUGCAAGCGUUAAUCGGAAUGACUGGGCGUAAAGCGUGUGUAGGUGGUUGGAUAAGUUAGAUGUGAAAUCCCUGGGCUUAACCUGGGAACUGCGUUUAAGACUGUUUAGCUAGAGUACUGUAGAGGAUAGUGGAAUUUCCAGUGUAGCGGUGAAAUGCGUAGAUAUUGGAAGGAACACCAGUGGCGAAGGCGACUAUCUGGACAGAUACUGACACUGAGACACGAAAGCGUGGGGAGCAAACAGG
rnacentral:rRNA from 1 species